AACUCUUCCUCAAGAAGGUGAAUAAUGAUGGGUAGGUAGGUAUUGACAAUGUCGUUACACUGGUCUGCAAAUUGUUUGACUGGGAUCAAAUCGCAGCCUUUGUGCAAAGCAUUUUCCACAGCAUCCUGCACAGUUUUCUCC